rnacentral:rRNA from 1 species
CACGUGACUAACCUACCCUAAAGUGGGGAAUAACUCCGGGAAACCGGGGCUAAUACCGCAUAAUAUCGAUGCUUCGAAAGGAGCGACGAUCAAAGCAGCAAUGCGCUUUAGGAGGGGUCGCGGCUGAUUAGCUAGUUGGCGGGGUAACGGCCCACCAAGGCGAAGAUCGGUAUCCGGCCUGAGAGGGCGCACGGACACACUGAAACUGAAACACGGUCCAGACUCCUACGGGAGGCAGCAGUGGGGAAUUUUGCGCAAUGGGGGAAACCCUGACGCAGCAACGCCGCGUGGAGGAUGAAG